AACGAACGCUGGCGGCAUGCCUAACACAUGCAAGUCGAACGAGACCUUCGGGUCUAGUGGCGCACGGGUGCGUAACGCGUGGGAAUCUGCCCUUUGCUUCGGAAUAACAGUUAGAAAUGACUGCUAAUACCGGAUGAUGUCUUCGGACCAAAGAUUUAUCGGCAAAGGAUGAGCCCGCGUAGGAUUAGGUAGUUGGUGGGGUAAAGGCCUACCAAGCGACGAUCCUUAGCUGGUCUGAGAGGAUGAUCAGCCACACUGGGACUGAGACACGGCCCAAACUCCUACGGGAGGCAGCAGUGGGGAAUAUUGGACAAU
rnacentral:rRNA from 1 species